UUUAAUUUAUUGAUAGUUGUAUUGAUCAAAUAGGACGGGGUAUAGUAGUCAAAUCUAUAUGUAUGUUUGGUUAGAGCUUGGGACGAAUUUCUGAUUUUGUUUGAUUUGAUUAAAGGAAUUUUUCCCCUGGAGUUAUGAAGUUGUUGUUUACUGUAGUGAUCUUUGAAAAGAUCUCGCUACUCUACCUAGUUAAGCAAAGGUGUAGUGUUGCCCCCCUAAUCUAGUUUUGGAAAUUAGAUAUCUGUCAUGGCUGUCAGGUGAGGUUAAUCCUAGUUCUUAUUCAUAUGAAGUUGCUCCCUUCUUUUAAGUGGUGCGAGUCUGUGUAUAUAUGUGGGAGUAUAUGUUUAUUGCAUCGAUGUUCCUGAUCUCUGACUGUCUUCCAUAUCUUAAUUAAAUGAAUCAUGUAGACAUGGUUUCUACUCAUAUAUGUUAUAUAUAUUUGUUCUACUCAUGGAUUCUAGUCAUGUGAAGUUUCUUUCACAGAGAUUAAGUUGAAAUGGAAAGGAAGGUGAAAGACGAGGAGACUGGUUUCACAGAGAUGAAGGAUAUGGACACAUAUAUGAUGCUACAUAUGGGCUGCCUUUGAGGUAAGUUUUUACAUGCGUGCAUCUUCAAGAUUUCUUCAAGG